UACGAAGGGUGCAAGCGUUACUCGGAAUUACUGGGCGUAAAGCGUGCGUAGGUGGUCGUUUAAGUCCGUUGUGAAAGCCCUGGGCUCAACCUGGGAAUUGCAGUGGAUACUGGGCGACUAGAGUGUGGUAGAGGGUAGCGGAAUUCCCGGUGUAGCAGUGAAAUGCGUAGAGAUCGGGAGGAACAUCCGUGGCGAAGGCGGCUACCUGGGCCAACACUGACACUGAGGCACGAAAGCGUGGGGAGCAAACAGGAUUAGAUACCCUGGUAGUCCACGCCCUAAACGAUGCGAACUGGAUGUUGGGUUCAACUUGGAACCCAGUAUCGAAGCUAACGCGUUAAGUUCGCCGCCUGGGGAGUACGGUCGCAAGACUGAA
rnacentral:rRNA from 1 species